UACGUAGGGUGCAAGCGUUAUCCGGAAUCACUGGGCGUAAAGCGUCUGUAGGUGGUCAAAUAAGUCAACUGUUAAAUCUUGAGGCUCAACCUCAAAACCGCAGUCGAAACUAUUAGACUAGAGUAUAGUAGGGGUAAAGGGAAUUUCCAGUGGAGCGGUGAAAUGCGUAGAGAUUGGAAAGAACACCGAUGGCGAAGGCACUUUACUGGGCUAUUACUAACACUCAGAGACGAAAGCUAGGGUAGCAAAUGGG
rnacentral:rRNA from 1 species